rnacentral:rRNA from 1 species
GAACCGUACGAACGUUAUUCGGAAUUACUGGGCUUAAAGGGUGCGUAGGCGGCUUGGCAAGUUGGGUGUGAAAUCCCUCGGCUCAACCGAGGAAUUGCGCCCAAAACUGCCAGACUUGAGGGAGACAGAGGUGAGUGGAACUUAGGGUGGAGCGGUGAAAUGCGUUGAUAUCCUAAGGAACACCAGUGGCGAAGGCGACUCACUGGGUCUCUUCUGACGCUGAGGCACGAAAGCUAGGGUAGCGAACGGGAUUAGAUACCCCGGGUAGUCCUAGCUGUAAACGAUGAGCACUGGGUCGGAGAGUCUUCCCAUAGCUUUCCGGCCCGCAGCGAAAGUGUUAAGUGCUCCGCCUGGGGAGUAUGGUCGCAAGGCUG